GACGAACGCUGGCGGCGUGCCUAAUACAUGCAAGUCGAGCGAAGUUUUUCUGGUGCUUGCACUAGAAAAACUUAGCGGCGAACGGGUGAGUAACACGUAAAGAACCUGCCUCAUAGACUGGGACAACUAUUGGAAACGAUAGCUAAUACCGGAUAACAGUAUUUCUCGCAUGAGAGAUAUUUAAAAGUUGGUUAUGCUAACACUAUGAGAUGGCUUUGCGGUGCAUUAGCUAGUUGGCGGGGUAAAGGCCCACCAAGGCGACGAUGCAUAGCCGACCUGAGAUGGUGAUCGGCCACACUGGGACUGAGACACGGCCCAGCCUCCUACGGGAUGCAGCAGUAGGGAAUCUUCCGCAAUGGGCGAACGCCUGACGGAGCAACGCCGCGUGAGUGAAGAAGGAUUUCGGUUCGUAAAGCUCUGUUGUUAGGGAAGAAUGGAUAUGUAGUAACUAUACAUGUAAGAGACGGUACCUAACCAGAAAGCCACGGCUAACUACGUG
rnacentral:rRNA from 1 species